ensembl:lncRNA
UGUGCCCGUGCGCAUGCGCACUGGGAAAGAAAAUGGACUCAAUGGGAGGACUUGCGCAGAUACCAGGACCCUCUGCUCUGAGCCACAAUGAAGAACUUUCCCAGACUAGGCAAGCCCAGGUACUACUGAAACAAAAGUGAGAGCAGAGCCAUCCCUGUGCCGACAGGAGCUUCUAAAGUUAAUAACAGUGUUGGACAUUGGUGCCAGUUAUAGAUACAGAGGCGUAACAAGUGGAGAAGAGGAAGGAUAUGCUUUUAUCAGUGCCCACCAUGUGCCAGAUAAAAUGAAUUGGCUCAUUGGAAAUAUGCUAAUGACCCUGCCAGACUCCAGCAUGAUGAGCAAUUUGGAACGCUGCCCUCUUGCCCACUGUGAUGGAGUGGAAAUUGCUCAAAAGGAGUAAGGGAUUUAGUGCUGUAAAACAUUCAUGUAAGUUAACUGGAAGUGUAAAUCAAGAACCAGCAAAAAUAAACUGCUACAGUGCUGCUUCCCUGAUUGAAAUAUCAUCAUUAAUGUAGAAUUGACUUAAAUAAUUUUUACGAUCUUUCUUCUCUCAGGUAAUCAACAGUUGUUUCUUAAGAGAUAAAUUGUAUUCUUUUUGAAAUUAUUUGGGGAGGGGCAUAGCAUCAGGCAAGUAGUUCAAAAAAACAGUAAAUGAGUGACAG